AGUUAUGUGGAAUCCAUCAAUGAAAAAUGAGUGAAAAACAAAUGCAAUAUGUGUAUAUGUAUACAUGAACCCCCUGAAAGACACAGGCAACUAUAUACAAUACUUAAAAUUAAGCUACUACCUGUGAACUGAUUGAUAUAUAAGUACACGUGUGCAUAUCAUUAAUUUGAAUGUGAUUAUGGAUUGAAUUUAACCGCAUGGCGAUAUGAAGAGAUUCAAAAAGAAUCGUCUGUAUCGCUGGUUCUCUCAAAGGAAAAAUACUGAUACGGAUGAUAAUCCGUUGACAGACAUUUUGGUUGUCCCUAGCCAGAAUGUCAAUAAUAGCCCUGCUCUAAAUGAAGCAGCAUCCACUCAUGGCGGAGUCGAAAAUGAAAGCCCAAACCAGGGUAAACUGCACUCUGUCACUGUGGAAGACCCUAAUGAAUG